CAUUAGAAACCGAGAGUAUGUUAGAACCAAGAGAUAGAGUAGCACUUGCCUUUUGUCUGCCAUAAACAGCCGAGAGAUAAGAGUAGAAUGAAAUCAAAAUUCCUUCUCUUCCUUUGCCUGUCCAAAAUCGAGAGAGACAACAAGGAAAACUAGGAACUCUUUUCUUUCUUCUACCGUGAACACCAGCCAAGAAAACAAGGAAACUCUAGGUUAUCUAGCUAAGGAAUCGAGAGAGAGGGAAAGCAGAAAUUUUCCAGUCCACAACGCAAAGAAACAAGAGGUAGUUAACUAAGCUUCCUUCAAUUUCCUUCCGCUUUCAGUUAGAAAUGUUUUAGAUUAAGUCAGAACCAAGAAAAGAAGAAAGUUUACCGAGGAGAGGUUCAUCGAAGCUGGAAAAUUUGUUUAAAGUUUUUGCAUAUUACCCAAUGUUGUUAAACUGCAAACUUUUGGAUGUUUGCCUUCCAAAACCUGUUAGAUUGUGACUUCAUGCAUUAUAUAUGCUCCCAAGUUUAUAUAGUUUGGCAUACAUCCAAUAUUUGACAUGAACUCAAGUAGAAUAAGUGUAAGAAAAUGAAGAAAAUCUUGCUGAAGUUCUUGUUUUGACUCUGCAUGCAGACCGACAAGAUGAAGCUGGAAAUUUCCAGCUUCAUCUUUAGAAAAUUUUUUUAGUUUGGUUAAAAACUCACUUCAAAUAACUUUCAUCUUCCUAAUCCAGUCGUGCAUUUGUUAGUUGAGGAGUUAAAAGCAAGAAAAAAUUGAGUUUAAAGCAAUCUCAAAAGCUGGAAUUUUCUGGACAGCAAAACAAGAGUAAAAGCUGCAGUUUCGGUUCCUUACUCCAAAAAUUUUGAUAGAUUAUGACUGGAAUCCAUGCUUUAUGUCCUGCAUAACGUUUAUAAGAUGAUGCAUAUGAGUUCCUAUGUUGAAAACUUGAGUUUUAUAGCUGGUUUCCAGUUGGAAUUUCCAGCUUUGGCCGAGAGGAAAGAAAGCUUGGUUUCUCAACCUUUUGUCCAAAAUUUCUAAGAGUUUAGCGGGGAAAUUCAUGUUAUAUGUUAAGUAUAAUCUUUAAUUAGUGCUGCAUGUUAGUUUUUUUCUUGGUAAAAACUCGACUAAUGGGGCUGAAAUGGCCAUACAAGGACUGCAUGAUUGUGAGACACUUGCUAGCCUGUCCGAUGGAGCACUAGUUGAGAUUUUGUUUAAAACUGGAAUUUGAUGAGAAUUUUUUUGCUGGAUUUUGAAGUUACAUGGUCUUAUUGCAAUGUUUAUAUGAAUGCAUGUCGAGUUUGGUUGAUGUUUGAUGCAUUGAAUGAAAUUUUGGUGGAGAGAUAUGGCUGGAAAUUCCAGCUUACAACCGAGAAUGCUGUUGUGUUUUCUCAAGUUUAGAUUUCAUCUUGCAACCUAAAAUUUAUGCAUAUAUUGAUCAAAAACAUCCCUAUUCGUAUAGAUUUCUGUCUUGCUCUGUAUAGUGUGGUUGUCCUGAUUUGGGAGGAAAUGAUUGAAUCCUAGAGAAAGAAAUGGGAGCUGGUCGAGUAUGUGGAAUUGUUUUGGCAGAUUUGGGUUGUUGGGAUGAUUUUGAUUGAAUUGCUGAGUUUUAGCUUAGUCUUAACCAAAAAUGAUCUAUAACGGAAUGAUAGUCAAAUGUACCUUGAAUUUGAGGGAGUUUAAAUAAGAAAAUAGCAAACUUAAGGAAGAAACUUGACUACCCAUUGCUGGAAAACCGUUUCAAACCAUCUUAUAAUAGUUUUACUUGUGAAACGUCAUCCAAAAUAUAGCAUAAAAACCAAGAAAGUUCAUAGGAAUAUUAAGCUACCAAUCUUUAGAAAAUUUAACUAAUAAUCUAAUAAAUUUACAAAUAUCUCAUGGCCGAGGGUUAACUAGAAGAGAGACCAAGCAUCGAGGAGUGAACUCUAACUAUUUGGGUGAGUGUUUUCACAUUUGUUUGUUUAAACUGCCUAUGUGUUACUUAAGUGAUGUUUAUAUGAUUUUGCUAGUGUUUUAUUGUGAAGUAUUUUCAAUUAUCCUUUACCUUCUAAGUUAGGAGUGUACUUUACCGUACCUACCUUAGUUUGAGCUUAAAGGUUAAUAAUUGACCAAGUGUUACUGUAAGUGUGCAUGAUUGUAAGAUGUGUGUGUACUUUACUGCACCAGUUGAACUAGAUCCCAAAGCUCUCUAUUCACCAAAAUAUUCGAGCCAACAAAGGGUUUGGUCGGAUAGUAUGGUGGCUUUGAAUAAGUGCAUUGUUAUGCUCGAGUAUUACCAUGGAAUAGCAGAUUACUAAUAUGGCCAUCUAAGUGACAGAAGUGUUUACUGUUUUGGAGAUUAUAAGGAGAAGUUCGGCGAAAUGUGUAAUGCAUUGAAGUGGCUCUAUUGCGAGCACCAUGUCCUUUUGAAAGUGAUUGUUCAGUGAAAUGUUCUUUACUUUAUUCAAUGAAGUGUUCUUUACUUUACGUGUUAAGUGUUUGUUGAUUAUUGCUUGCUUGGGAAACUUCAUUGGGUGUAAGCUCAACUCUUUAGUUUUGUUUUUCUUAGCAAAUGUUGGAAACAUGGAAUCGGGGAAUAGUGAGUCCAAGAGUUGAAGUUUUUGCUUUAAGUAAAUUGCCAUCCUAUUUGUACUUAGUGAAUUGAUUCAACAACUUGUAUUUUAAUACGUUUAAUUGUACACAUAAGUAUGGAUGACUUGGAAUGUUGGAUGGUUUGUAAUGUUUAAUUGUGGUGUUUUAAUGCUUACUUUAAAGUUAAUGCUAUUGAUUGGGAGAUUUUAAAUGAAUCCUCGCGAGAGUUAGACAAGCGAUCCGUUAAAUCUUAAGGUACGCCCUAAGGGGAGAUGGACUCAUCACACAACUACUUUUGUAAAUAUGAAAUUUUAUGGGAAUAAUUUCAGAAACCUCUGAGGUUUCUGAUGAUUGUGACCACCUCCAC
rnacentral:lncRNA from 1 species